AUACGUAGGUGGCAAGCGUUGUCCGGAAUUAUUGGGCGUAAAGCGCGCGCAGGUGGUUCCUUAAGUCUGAUGUGAAAGCCCCCGGCUCAACCGGGGAGGGUCAUUGGAAACUGGGGAACUUGAGUGCAGAAGAGGAUAGUGGAAUUCCAAGUGUAGCGGUGAAAUGCGUAGAGAUUUGGAGGAACACCAGUGGCGAAGGCGACUGUCUGGUCUGUAACUGACGCUGAGGCGCGAAAGCGUGGGGAGCAAACAGGAUUAGAUACCCUGGUAGUCCACGCCGUAAACGAUGAGUGCUAAGUGUUAGGGGGUUUCCGCCCCUUAGUGCUGCAGCUAACGCAUUAAGCACUCCGCCUGGGGAGUACGGUCGCAAGACUGAAACUCAAAUGAAUUGGCGGGG
rnacentral:rRNA from 1 species